rnacentral:rRNA from 1 species
CCUACGGGGUGCAGCAGUGAGGAAUAUUGGUCAAUGGACGAGAGUCUGAACCAGCCAAGUAGCGUGAAGGAUGACUGCCCUAUGGGUUGUAAACUUCUUUUAUAUGGGAAUAAAAUGUUCCACGUGUGGGAUUUUGUAUGUACCAUAUGAAUAAGGAUCGGCUAACUCCGUGCCAGCAGCCGCGGUAAUACGGAGGAUCCGAGCGUUAUCCGGAUUUAUUGGGUUUAAAGGGAGCGUAGGUGGAUGGUUAAGUCAGUUGUGAAAGUUUGCGGCUCAACCGUAAAAUUGCAGUUGAAACUGGCAGUCUUGAGUACAGUAGAGGUGGGCGGAAUUCGUGGUGUAGCGGUGAAAUGCUUAGAUAUCACGAAGAACUCCGAUUGCGAAGGCAGUUCACUGGACUGCAACUGACACUGAGGCUCGAAAGUGUGGGUAUCAAACAGGAUUAGAUACCCUGGUAGUC